rnacentral:lncRNA from 1 species
GUAUAACUGUACUGUUGGAGCUAUAAACACAAGCAUUAGGUAUUACUGUACUGUUGGAGCUAUAAACACAAGCAUUGUGUAUUACUGUACUGUUGGAGCUAUAAACACAAGCAUUAGGUAUUACUGUACUGUUGGAGAUAUAAACACUAGCAUUAUAUAUUACUGUACUGUUGGAGCUAGAAACACAAGCAUUAGGUAUUACUGUACUGUUGGAGCUAGAAACACAAGCAUUAUAUAUUACUGUACUGUUGGAGCUAGAAACACAAGCAUUAUGUAUUACUGUACUGUUGGAGCUAGAAACACAAGCAUUAGGUAUUACUGUACUGUUGGAGCUAGAAACACAAGCAUUAUAUAUUACUGUACUGUUGGAGCUAGAAACACAAGCAUUAUAUAUUACUGUACUGUUGGAGCUAGAAACACAAGCAUUAUAUAUUACUGUACUUUUGGAAGCUAUAAACACAAGCAUCAUAUCUUACUGUACUUUUGGAGCUCGAAACACAUGCAUUAUAUAUUACUGUACUGUUGGAGCUAUAAACACAAGCAUUAUAUAUUACUGUACUGUUGGAGCUAGAAACACAAGCAUUAUACAUUACUGUACUGUUGGAGCUAGAAACACAAGCAUUAUAUAUUACUGUACUGUUGGAGCUAUAAACACAAGCAUUAGAUAUUACUGUACUGUUGGAGCUAGAAACACAAGCAUUAUAUAUUACUGUACUGUUGGAGCUAUAAACACAAGCAUUAGGUAAUACUGUACUGUUGGAGCUAUAAACACAAGCAUUAGGUAUUACUGUACUGUUGGAGCUAGAAACACAAGCAUUAGGUAUUACUGUACUGUUGGAGCUAUAAACACAAGCAUUAUAUAUUACUGUACUGUUGGAGCUAUAAACACAAGCAUUAUAUAUUACUGUACUGUUGGAGCUAUAAACACAAGCAUUAGAUAUUACUGUACUGUUGGAGCUAUAAACACAAGCAUUAAGUAUUACUGUACUGUUGGAGCUAUAAACACAAGCAUUAUAUAUUACUGUACUGUUGGAGCUAUAAACACAAGCAUUAAGUAUUACUGUACUGUUGGAGCUAUAAACACAAGCAUUAUAUAUUACUGUACUGUUGGAGCUAUAAACACAAGCAUUAUAUAUUACUGUACUGUUGGAGCUAUAAACACAAGCAUUAUAUAUUACUGUACUGUUGGAGCUAGGACCAGCUUGCUUAGGGGAUAUUUUAGCAGUUCUGCAUUUUAUGAGUUCUGCAUGCAGUCUCUCUCUGU